GAGCAGACGAAACUAAAGGUACAGUUACUAGUUAGUGUUUUUUGUGUGUUUGUUUAUGUGUGUGUCGUGGAGGAGUGAUCUGUGCCUGACCAUGUGGCUAUAUGACGAACCAGGCUGUUGCCACGGUGACGGUGGUGGUGGGCAUGACACAGAUGCGGGAGGUGGAGUUUGUGCCCGAUGGAGACAUGCAGCUGGACAAAUUGUGUUGGUCAUUGGUCAGACUGGAGUUUACAUGUGUACCUCCUUCACCAUCAUUGGUGGACACUUCACCUUGAGUGAUGCUUGAGCUGUCAUGGUGUUGCUGGUGCUGUGUGCCAUCAUCACCCUGACACAGACCACCCUGCAGACACCUUCAUCCUGGGUGCCACACGUCGCUGCUGCUACAACUCAGAGCAACAAGAGCGCAAGCCAGGAAGGGAGAUGUGUGCAGGUUUGCAGUAAACCUCCCUGAAGGUUCCAGAGCUGCUCAGCAAGUGUCCAGUCCAGGCUGUCACAAGACUGUGUGAUGGUGGACCUUCCACUGAUACUCACUGAAAACAGCUGUGCACUGCCACUCACAGGAAAUGGUGGUACUGUGGAUAGCAAGCGGAAGAGGCCUUGGGAGACUUCCGUUAAUGAGGAGCAACAGUCACACCUCACUGGAGUCUUUCAGGAACCAACAGUCAGGGCCUGAUGUGAAGGUGUCUGCAUCCAGUGUUUGGUGUCCUCUGUGCCUGCCUGGUGGUGCCUCAUUGCAGGGCCUGAUGUGAAGGUGUCUGCAGCCAGUGUUUGGUGUCCUCUGUGCCUGCCUGGUGGUGCCUCAUUGCAGGGCCUGAUGUGAAGGUGUCUGCAGCCAGUGUUUGGUGUCCUCUGUGCCUGCCUGGUGGUGCCUCAUUGCAGGGCCUGAUGUGAAGGUGUCUGCAGCCAGUGGUGGUGCCUCAUUGCAGGGCUGAUGUGAAGGUGUCUGCAGCCAGUGGUGGUGCCUCAUUGCAGGGCUGAUGUGAAGGUGUCUGCAGCCAGUGGUGGGUGUCCUCUGUGCCUGGUGGUGGUGGUGCCUCAUUGCAGGGCUGAUGUGAAGGUGUCUGCAGCCAGUGUUUGGUGUCCUCUUUGCCUGGUGGUGCCUCAUUGCAGGGCCUGAUGUGAAGGUGUCUGCAGCCAGUGUUUGGUGUCCUCUGUGCCUGGUGGUGCCUCAUUGCAGGGCUGAUGUGAAGGUGUCUGCAGCCAGUGGUGGGUGUCCUCUGUGCCUGGUGGUGGUGCCUCAUUGCAGGGCUGAUGUGAAGGUGUCUGCAGCCAGUGUUUGGUGUCCUCUCUUCCUGGUGGUGCAGCCUGAUGUGUUGCCUGCUUCAGUGUAAAUCUUGCAAGCCAGAUCUGCCAGGUGUCUCCAGUGUAGUAGUCUAGGGUGCUUUGCUUUGUGUCUUUGGCAAUAAAUAAAUUUGUGAGUAUCAUUCUCAUGUGAAUUAUAUAGUUUGAUAAAAUUACAGAAUGUGCUUGGGUAAACUAAAUUUAUAUAUUGGUGGUAAACAAUUCAUGCAUCCCCAAGUAAAUAAAUAAAAAAAUAAAUAGGACCCAAAACAAUAGAUACAAUAUAGAUCAUCCUCUGGUCAAAAAAAAAGCCAGGAUUGGCCCAUUUUUGGCCAAGUUUAAAGUGAAACUUGCACACACAAGCCCUGUCCGAGCGACACCGGAGUCGCUCGGACAGGGCUUCUGUGUGCAAGUUUUACCUUAAACUUAGCCAAAAAUGGGCCAAUCCAGCCAAAAAUGGGCCAAUCCUGGCUUUUUUUUUUUGGACCAGAGGAUCAAUUGUUACUAGUAUUUUUUGCUUCCAUUUUUUUUUUUUUUUUUAUCAGGGCUAUGAACUGGUUACAUCAGAAAGCAGCUUAUUUGCAAUUUGUAAAAAGAUUUGUAUAUAAUUCCACAAUUCCACAAGUAUGAACAAGAUGAUUAAAUAUAUUUGUUUAAAUCACAUUGCCAAAGUUUCUGAGGAGGCAUGAACUGUUACACCAGAAAGCUUGUUUAUUUGCAACUUAUUAGUAUAAUUCCCUAAGUAUGUACAAGAUAAUAAUAUAUAUAUUGUUUAAUCACAAAAGUUUAAUAAAUACACAAUAGGAUAAA